GAUCAUGGCUCAGGACGAACGCUGGCGGCGUGCCUAAUACAUGCAAGUCGAGCGAAGUUUUUUCUGGUGCUUGCACUAGAAAAACUUAGCGGCGAACGGGUGAGUAACACGUAAAGAACCUGCCUCAUAGACUGGGACAACUAUUGGAAACGAUAGCUAAUACCGGAUAACAGUAUUUCUCGCAUGGGAGAUAUUUUAAAAAGUUAGGUUAUGCUAACACUAUGAGAUGGCUUUGUCGGUGGCAUUAG
rnacentral:rRNA from 1 species